rnacentral:rRNA from 1 species
GACUGCCGGUGGUCAAACCGGAGGGAAGGUGGGGAGUGACGUCAAGUCCUCAUGGCCUUUAUGCCCAGGGCUACACACGUGCUACAAUGGGUGGUACAAAGAGCAGCGAACUCGCGAGAGUAAGCGAAUCUCAAAAAGCCAUCCUCAGUUCGGAUUGGAGUCUGCAACUCGACUCCAUGAAGUUGGAAUCGCUAGUAAUCGCGGAUCAGCAUGCCGCGGUGAAUACGUUCCCGGGCCUU